AAUCUCGAAAUUUUCUCCGCUCUCCUUUCUGAGCUCGUUCUCUUCAUCUCGUUUCUCUUCAGUUAAACCCUAACCCUAAUCCUCGGCGGGCGUACACCAGGAGCCCAAAUCCGAUUCACCGAGGACCUCAUCAGCGAUAUCGAAGGGGAGCAAUCUGAGAUUCUCGGAGGGAUUGAGGGUUUAGGGCAUCAUGCCUCCAGUGACUUACCAUAAGUGCUUGGGUUGUUGAGGAUGUCUCCAAGAGCACCAUAUGUGUUGCCAUAUACAAAAAUUGCCCCUGGGUGAUCAGUGUUCAGCUGUUGGACCAGUGAUCUCAGUCCCACAUUGAAGAGACCAACCAUCUGAUUUACCUGAUCAACACAUCGGUCAGCUGGGGUGAGCCCAGAGGCCCGUUGGUUGGGGAUGCAUCCUAGGGGCCCCACUCCUGCCAGGACAAACUUCCUUAGACCUACGCUGUAUAGUGCCUGCAAGAAAGAACAGCUUGGAGACAAUUGAAGACAUCCUACUAUAAUGCAGGUAUAUCUUGAUAGAAUUAGGCGACAUGUUUGUUACAAUGUUUUAAGGCACUGUUCUUAAAGAUGUUCCUCAGAUAUUUACUUUCUGUGCAAAUUUGUUUAUCCUGUUAGAUUUGAAGUAGGUAGUUUGUACCCAAUUUUAUCCAUUAUGACUUGGAACCAGCCAUAUGAUCGCAUUGUUAGUCCAUAAAACAUUGCUAGCUGAAAUGACAUGCAUUCUGUCGCAUGACUAAUAAAUAGCUGGAUCACAUUGUUUUUCAA